UAAUAAAUACAAUUCCAGAUUUAUUAAAAAUCAGGGCUCCCCUGCUGUGCCCUCCUGGCACUAAGGAAAUAAAUAACCAGAGGGGCACAGCUAGGGAAAGGGGGAAAAAAUCAGAUCUCAAGACAGACUCUGAACUACCCUUUCUCCCUCCCCAACUCCCACCCCCUUAUGGCUCUUGGGACAUAGCACCUGAGCAGGCACCUCAGUCCAGGUAGAGUGUGACCGGCACCAAGGCAUGUCUGCCCUACCCAAGAAGGGAGACAGGCCCUGGGGUCACUUGUUUCCAGCCCUUGAUGACCCCAAGACCUGUUCCCCACAGGGGCCAGGGCGGAAGCACCAAUUGGAG
rnacentral:antisense_RNA from 1 species